rnacentral:rRNA from 1 species
AGAGUUUGAUCAUGGCUCAGAAUCAACGCUGGCGGCGCGCUUAACACAUGCAAGUCGAACGAGAAAGGGGAGCAAUCCCUGAGUACAGUGGCGUACGGGUGAGUAACACGUGGGUGAUCUACCUUUGGUGGGGAAUAACCCUGGGAAACCGGGGCUAAUACCGCAUAAUUCCGAGAGGAGAAAGUCGCAAGACGCCGAAG